rnacentral:rRNA from 1 species
UACGUAGGGUGCAAGCGUUGUCCGGAAUUAUUGGGCGUAAAGAGCUUGUAGGCGGUUUGUCGCGUCUGCUGUGAAAUUUCGGGGCUCAACCCCGAACUUGCAGUGGGUACGGGCAGACUAGAGUGUGGUAGGGGAGACUGGAAUUCCUGGUGUAGCGGUGAAAUGCGCAGAUAUCAGGAGGAACACCGGUGGCGAAGGCGGGUCUCUGGGCAAUAACUGACGCUGAGGAGCGAAAGCGUGGGGAGCGAACAGG